GACGAACGCUGGCGGCGUGCUUAACACAUGCAAGUCGAACGAGAUCCAAUGUGUAGCAAUACACAGGAAGAUCUAGUGGCGAACGGGUGAGGAACACGUGAGAAACGUACCACAGACUUUGGGAUAACAGUCCGAAAGGACUGCUAAUACCAAAUAACGUCGGAAGUCCGCAUGGACAUCUGACGAAAGGGAUUCCGGUUUGGGAGCGUCUCGCGGACCUAUCAGCUAGUUGGAGGGGUAACGGCCCACCAAGGCAACGACGGGUAGCUGGUCUGAGAGGAUGGUCAGCCACACUGGGACUGAGACACGGCCCAGACUCCUACGGGAGGCAGCAGUGGGGAAUCUUGCGCAAUGGGCGAAAGCCUGACGCAGCAACGCCGCGUGCGGGAAGAAGGCUUUCGGGCUGUAAACCGCUUUCAGUAGGAACGAAACUGACGGUACCUACAGAAGAAGGAGCGGCCAACUAUGUG
rnacentral:rRNA from 1 species